CUCAAAAAACAAAAAAUAAAUAAAAUAAACUAAAGAAAUUGUUAUGGGUGCAAUAUAUGAUGUAGGCAGUAGUGUAAAAGGGGUAGGUAUAAAAACCGUGGGAUAGUUGAUAUUGGAGCUGAAUGUUGAAUGAUGAUUAGGUGUUUGUCAGGUAACCACGUGUGCACAUGACAGUAAGUAGAGCAGAGCAGGAGCAACAACAUAGAAGCUGAUGUGUUCUGAAGCUGCAGAUGCGGGUGAUUAGAGGAUAGAAGUACCAGAGAUGUUGCAAGAUGAGGUGAGGUAUGUAGAUAAGUAAAAUGGGGCAGGAAUGUGAGAUGCAUAAUCUUGGGAGCAUUUCUAAGGAGUCUGAGUUUUAUUUUAUAGACAGGGAGAAGUCAUUAUACGGCCUUGAAGCAAGAAAUAACAUGAUCAACUCUACAUUUUCAAAAGAUACCUGUGCUCCACAUUAUGUGUCAUUAGGGAAAUGGAAAUUAAAACAACAGUGACAUACCGUUACAUGACGGUUACAAUGGCUGAAAUCCAAAACACUGACAACACCAAAGCUGGUGAAGAUGGGGAACAACAGAAACUCUCAUUCACUGCUGGUGGGAAUACAACAUGGUACUUUGGAAGAUUGUUUGGCAACUUCUUACAUAUUCUUACUGUAUGAUCCAGCAAUUAGGCUCCUUGGAAUUUGCCCAAGUGAAUUGAAAACAUGUUCACACAAAAACCUGCAUACAGAUGUGUAUGGAAGCUUUUUUCAUAAUUUCCAAAUCUUGGAAGCAACUAAGAUGUCCUUCAGUAGAUGAACGUAUAAAUAAACUCUGUAGUAUACCCAGACAAUGGACCAAAAAGAAAAGAGCUAUCAACCCAUGAAAAGACAUGGAGGAACCUUAAAAAUGUGUGUUACUAUGUGAAAGAAGCCAAUCUGAAAAGGCUGUAUACUAUAAAAUUCUGAAUUAUGUUCUGGAAAAGGUAAAACUAUGGAGAUGGUAAAAAAGUGUAGUGUUUGCCAGGAUCUGAGGGGAGAGAGGAAUGAAUAGGCAAAGCACAGAGGGAUCGUAGCACAGCGUAUGUAUUCUGUGUGGUACUGAAUGGUGGAUACACGUCAUUACGCAUUAGUUCAAAUCCAUCAAGAGUGAACCCUAAUGUAAAUUACAAACUUCAA